UGUGGGGAUGCAAUAGAAAAAUAGCACCCUUGUGCAAGAUUGUGCAAGAGGAAACAUCUGUUGACUCUGCUGACUUGUUCCCCCCACACGCCUGGGUCACUGUCGCGCUGCCUAACCGCAAAGCUUACGCGGCUGUCAUGCUGUCUGGAGUUAUGUCCUGGUAGAGAAUAGUUAUUCUAAGAAAUGCAAACCCUAGCUGUUUUCCACCCGAGUGCUACACGUGUAUAUGCAACAUGAUGUAAUGUGCGCAAGGCUAAUAAACAUGCAAGGCUGCUGG
rnacentral:lncRNA from 1 species